UGGACAACCGACUCCAUUGCUUAGCGUGGGA
rnacentral:piRNA from 1 species